AGGCUGGAAGCAUGCUUCUGCCAUGGCUGAUCAAUGGGAGGAAAUUGUGCCUUCAGUUUUAAAUCACUCUUGGUCAGAAGGAUACCUGCACCCUCUGUGCCUUUUACAGCUACUGUUUAUGGCUCUGCCCAUGAAAAAUAUAUCCCUAACUCCUCUGUACCCAGGCCCUGCCCAGUGGGAGAUACAUCAUCAGCUCCUCCAUACCCAGUCCAGAGCUGUCCUUUUGACCCAGAAGAAACUCAAAGGAGGAGAUACGUCUGAUCCAUCUCUGUCAAGGCUCUUCCCUCUUCUCCUGGGUAGCCAUGGGGGACCAUGGCACAGGAAGCCAUCUAGGAAGAAAGCCCCAAGUCAAUUGUCUGCCAUUCGUGAAGCUGGCCUAGCCUUGCUCAGGCUACAAUAUCUCAGGGAGGACCUGAUAUCAGCAACCCACUCAGAACACUCCUCCAUGGCACAUCCCAUGGUGGCCCAGCUCCACUGACUGCUAUGUGUUUCAUCUUGCGAAAGGCCUCACUCAGAGGAGGACAGCAAAUAAAGAAGUGGCCUGGCCACA
rnacentral:lncRNA from 1 species